rnacentral:rRNA from 1 species
UACGUAGGGUCCGAGCGUUGCCUCGGAAUUACUGGGCGUAAAGGGUGCGUAGGCGGCUUCUUAAGUCUGGUGUGAAAUCUCCCGGCUCAACUGGGAGGGUGCGCCGGAUACUGAGGGGCUAGAGUGUGGGAGAGGUGCGUGGAAUUCCUGGUGUAGCGGUGAAAUGCGUAGAUAUCAGGAGGAACACCUGUGGCGAAAGCGGCGCACUGGACCACAACUGACGCUGAGGCGCGAAAGCUAGGGGAGCAAACAGG